rnacentral:rRNA from 1 species
GGGAGUCAGGCGUAGGGUGAUAAAAUCCUAUGUCGAGAGGGGAACAACCCAGACUAACAGCUAAGGUCCCAAAGUCAUAUUUAAGUGGAAAACGAUGUGGAGUUACUGUGACAACCAGGAGGUUGGCUUAGAAGCAGCCAUCCUUUAAAGAAAGCGUAACAGCUCACUGGUCUAGUGAUUCUGCGCGGAAAAUAUAACGGGGCUAAAGUACGCACCGAAGCUUUAGAUUACAGUUUACUGUAGUGGUAGGAGAGCGUUCUAUUCAGCAUUGAAGCCAUACCGGUGAGGAGUGGUGGAGCGGAUAGAAGUGAGCAUGCAGGCAUGAGUAGCGAUAAUUAAAGUGAGAAUCUUUAACGCCGAAAACCCAAGGUUUCCUACGCGAUGCUCGUCAUCGUAGGGUUAGUCGGGUCCUAAGUCGAGUCCGAAAGGGGUAGACGAUGGCAAAUAGGUUAAUAUUCCUAUACUUAUAAUAGAGCGUGAUGUGGGGACGCAUAGAGUUAAUCGAGCUGGCUGAUGGAAUAGCUGGUCGAAGGAUGUAGGUUGUAGCACAGGCAAAUCCGUGCUACAUUAGACCGAGAUCUUACAGGCCGAACAAAAUCUUCGGAUAGCGUUUGGAAUCGAUGAUACUGUCGUGCCAAGAAAAGCCACUAAGCAUAUCUAUUAUAACCCGUACCGUAAACCGACACAGGUAGGUGGGAUGAGUAUUCUAAGGCGCGUGGAAGAACCCUGGUUAAGGAACUCUGCAAACUAGCACCGUAUCUUCGGUAGAAGGUGUGCCUACUUAGGUAUUAGGGAUUUACUCCCGAAAGCUUGAGAGGUUGCAACAAAGAGUCCCUCCCGACUGUUUACCAAAAACACAGCACUUUGCUAACUCGCAAGAGGAUGUAUAAGGUGUGACGCCUGCCCGGUGCUCGAAGGUUAAUUGAUGAUGUCAGCGUAAGCGAAGCAUUUGAUUGAAGCCCGAGUAAACGGCGGCCGUAACUAUAACGGUCCUAAGGUAGCGAAAUUCCUUGUCGGUUAAAUACCGACCUGCAUGAAUGGCGUAACGAGAUGGGAGCUGUCUCAACCAGGGAUCCAGUGAAAUUGUAGUGGAGGUGAAAAUUCCUCCUACCCGCGGAAAGACGGAAAGACCCCGUGCACCUUUACUAUAGCUUUACACUGCUAUUGGGAUAUUCAUGUGCAGGAUAGGUGGGAGACUAUGAUCUAUGGACGCAAGUACAUAGGGAGUCAUCCUUGAGAUACCACCCUUGAAUAUUCUGAUAGCUAACUCCGUAAUGUGAUCCAUUACGAGGACAAUGUAUGGUGGGUAGUUUGACUGGGGCGGUCGCCUCCUAAAAAGUAACGGAGGCUUACAAAGGUUGGCUCAAUCCGGUUGGAAAUCGGAUGUUGAGUAUAAUGGCAUAAGCCAGCCUGACUGUGAGACAUACAUGUCGAGCAGAGACGAAAGUCGGUCAUAGUGAUCCGGUGGUUCUGUGUGGAAGGGCCAUCGCUCAACGGAUAAAAGGUACGCCGGGGAUAACAGGCUGAU